UACGGGGGGGGCAAGCGUUGUUCGGAAUUACUGGGCGUAAAGGGCUCGUAGGCGGCCAACUAAGUCAGACGUGAAAUCCCCAGGCUCAACCUGGGAACUGCGUCUGAUACUGGAUGGCUUGAAUCCGGGAGAGGGAUGCGGAAUUCCAGGCGUAGCGGUGAAAUGCGUAGAUAUCUGGAGGAACACCGGUGGCGAAGGCGGCAUCCUGGACCGGUAUUGACGCUGAGGAGCGAAAGCCAGGGGAGCAAACGGG
rnacentral:rRNA from 1 species